rnacentral:rRNA from 1 species
CCAAUAGCGUAUAUUAAAGUUGUUGCAGUUAAAAAGCUCGUAGUUGAAUUUCGGGACCAAUAUGUCGGUCGUGCCUCGGUACGUACUGGUAUUAUUGGUUUCUCCCUUCUGACGAACCACGAUGCCAUUAAUUUGGUGUCGUGGGGAAUCAGGACUGUUACUUUGAAAAAAUUAGAGUGUUUAAAGCAGGCUCGCGCUUGAAUACAUUAGCAUGGAAUAAUGAAAUAGGACGUUUGAUUCUAUUUUGUUGGUUUCUAGGAUCGACGUAAUGAUUAAUAGGGAUAGUUGGGGGCAUUAGUAUUCAAUUGUCAGAGGUGAAAUUCUUGGAUUUAUUGAAGACUAACUACUGCGAAAGCAUUUGCCAAGGAUGUUUUCAUUAAUCAAGAACGAAAGUUAGGGGAUCGAAGACGAUCAGAUACCGUCGUAGUCUUAACCAUAAACUAUGCCGACUAGGGAUCGGAUGAUGUUAAUUUUUUAAUGACUCAUUCGGCGCCUUACG